CUACGGGUUGCAGCAGUGGGGAAUAUUGCACAAUGGGCGCAGGCCUGAUGCAGCAACGCCGCGUGAGGGAUGAAGGCCUUCGGGUUGUAAACCUCUUUUAGCAGGGAAGAAGCGAAAGUGACGGUACCUGCAGAAAAAGCACCGGCUAACUACGUGCCAGCAGCCGCGGUAAUACGUAGGGUGCAAGCGUUGUCCGGAAUUAUUGGGCGGAAAGAGCUCGUAGGCGGUUUGUCACGUCUGCUGUGAAAAUCCAAGGCUCAACCUUGGACUUGCAGUGGGUACGGGCAGGCUAGAGUGCGGUAGGGGAGAUGGGAAUUCCUGGUGUAGCGGUGGAAUGCGCAGAUAUCAGGAGGAACACCAAUGGCGAAGGCACAUCUCUGGGCCGUAACUGACGCUGAGGAGCGAAAGCGUGGGGAGCGAACAGGAUUAGAUACCCCAGUAGUC
rnacentral:rRNA from 1 species